CAAUAGCGUAUAUUAAAGUUGUUGCAGUUAAAAGCUCGUAGUUGAACUUCUGGUCAAGCGUGACCUUGGCUUCGGUCGAGGCAGGCAUGGCCAUCCGUCAGAAAACCAGGGAGGGUCUUAAGUGAUCGCUCUGGGGAUCUGACACUUUACUUUGUAAAAACUAAGAGUGUUCAUGGCAGGCUAACGCCCUCGAAUACACAAGACAUGGAUAAUAGAAUAGGACUGGGUCCGACUUUGUUGGUUAUUUGGACGCAGUGAUGAUUAAUAGGGACAGUUGGGGGCAUUAGUAUUUAAUUGUCAGAGGUGAAAUCUUGGAUUUAUUAAAGACUGACUUAUGCGAAAGCAUUUGCCAAGGAUGUUUUCAUUGAUCAAGAACGAAAGUUAGGGGA
rnacentral:rRNA from 1 species